GACGAACGCUGGCGGCGUGCUUAACACAUGCAAGUCGAACGGAAAGGCCCUGCUCUUGCGGGGUGCUCGAGUGGCGAACGGGUGAGUAACACGUGAGUAACCUGCCCUUGACUUUGGGAUAUAUCCAGGAAACUGGGGCUAAUAUCGGAUAGGAUCUCCUGCUGCAUGGUGUGGGUUGGUAAGAUUCGGCGGUUGGGGAUGGACUCGCGGCUUAUCAGCUUGUUGGUGGGGUAGUGGCUUACCAAGGCUUUGACGGGUAGCCGGCCUGAGAGGGUGACCGGCCACAUUGGGACUUAGAUACGGCCCAGAAUCCUACGGGAGGCAGCAGUGGGGAAUAUUGCACAAUGGGCGGAAGCCUGAUGCAGCGACGCCGCGUGCGGGAUGACGGCCUUCGGGUUGUAAACCGCUUUCGCCUGUGACGAAGCGUGAGUGACGGUAAUGGGUAAAGAAGCACCGGCUAACUACGUG
rnacentral:rRNA from 1 species